CAAGCUAUUAUAUUCACCAUAAUCAAAGGUGACGAGUUGGAAGCAUUUUUGGUGAUUAUUGCUAUUGGUCGUAAAAAGGUGCAAACGGGUCGGGUGUUAAGAAAGAUCAAAGAAAAAUAAAAUGAGG